rnacentral:rRNA from 1 species
UACGGAGGUGGCAAGCGUUGCUCGGAAUCACUGGGCGUAAAGGGCGCGUAGGCGGGGAGGUAAGUCGGGUGUGAAAUCCCUCGGCCCAACUGAGGAACUGCGCCCGAGACUGCUUCUCUUGAGUCCCGGAGAGGAAGAUGGAAUUCCCGGUGUAGCGGUGAAAUGUGUAGAGAUCGGGAGGAACACCGGUGGCGAAGGCGGUCUUCUGGACGGUGACUGACGCUGAGGAGCGAAAGCGUGGGGAGCGAACAGG